rnacentral:rRNA from 1 species
GACGAACGCUGGCGGCGUGCCUAAUACAUGCAAGUCGAGCGAAGCGGCGGAUGGGUGGGUAACGCGUGGGGAACCUGCCCUUAAGUCUGGGAUACCAUUUGGAAACGGAUGCUAAUACCGGAUACUAAAGGAUGGGCCUGCGUUGCAUUAGCUAGUGGGUAAGGUAACGGCUUACCUAGGCGAUGAUCCAUAGCCGAGUUGAGAGGAUGAUCGGCCACAUUGGGACUGAGACACGGCCCAGACUCCUACGGGAGGCAGCAGUAGGGAAUCUUCCACAAUGGACGAAAGCCUGAUGCAGCAACGCCGCGUGAGUGAAGAAGGCUUUCGGAUCGUAAAGCUCUUUUGUUGGUGAAGCGUUAAUCACCCAGAAAGUCACGGCUAACUACGUGCCAGCAGCCGCGGUAAUAC